rnacentral:rRNA from 1 species
CCCUUAGAUGUCCUGGGCCGCACGCGCGCUACACUGAGUGUCUGAGAUACGAGUCUGCCUGGUCCGGCAAGGUCUAGGUAAUCGCUAAAAGACACAUCAUGCUUGGAUAGAUUAUUGCAAAUAUUAAUCUUGAACGAGGAAUUCCUAGUAAGCGCAAGUCAACAGCUUGCGUUGAUUACGUCCCUGCCCUUUGUACACACCGCCCGUCGCUACUACUGAUUGGAUGUUUAAGCGAGGUUCUCGAACUGCUAGCGACUUAGCUUCGGUGAGGUCGCAGUGUGGGAAGUGAACCUAGCUUUGGUGUCUAGAGGAAGUAAAAGUCGUAACA